GCAUAAUGGUGAUAUUAAAAUUCAAUUUAAAGCUAAUUUACCCGAAAAUAAAAAGAUCUACUUAAUUAGGCCAAAUUUUAGAAAUAGAAUUAUUGUAGCAAAAAUAAAUUAAAAUGAUUAAGUGGUGGUGAAAGGCCUGUCAUUUUUAUUGAUAGCUGGAAUAAAGGAAAAUAUAUUAAGUAUAAUAGACAAUUUUAAAACGAUAAGGUUUUAAAAAAAAUGAAUCAUAUGUAUUAUUACCCAUAUUAUUUAGUAAGACUAUUUAAUAUAAAAUUAAAACAAAUCUUAAACAAUGUAGACAUCAUAAAGCAACCUUUUAUAUGGCUUUAAUAAUCCAACUUUACCAUUAAUAAUGUAUCAAUAAGUAGUUACUAUAAAUAUUAUUAAGGAACUCGACAAAUAUUUUGUACGCCUGUUUAUCAAAAACAUAAUCAUAAGUAAAUUUUUAUGAUGACGUCCGCCCAGUGAUAAUUUUAACGGCCGCAGUACUUUGACUGUGCAAAGGUAGCAUAAUAACUUGGCUUUUGAUUGGAGUCUGGAAUGAGAGAAAUAACGUAUAAAAUUUGUCUCAAACUGUAUUGUCCUGAAGUUACUUAAGAAGUGAAAAUACUUCUACAUAUAAUAAAAGACGAGAAGACCCUUAGAAUUUUUACUAAAUAAUUAGAUUAUUAAUUCAUCGUUUUAGUUGGGGCAACUCUAUUUCAUAUACAAAUAAAUAGUCAUAAUAGGAAUUUAUAUCGAUUUAAAUAAAUAAAAAUAAAUUACCUAAGGGAUAACAGCAUAAUUUUAUUAAAUAGAUUGUGACCUCGAUGUUGGACUAGGUACUGUUAAAGUUAAACGUUUUACCAUUUAAGUUCUGUUCGAACUCCUUUACCUACAUGAUCUGAGUUCAGACCGGCGUAAGCCAGGUCAGUUUCUAUCUUUAAUAUAGCAUAA
rnacentral:rRNA from 1 species